ensembl:lncRNA
CGUGUCUGAAAUCACACACAUCAGGUGUCUUUUUCUGAUCAAAUCAGCGUUUUACGCAAAUUGCGUUUUUGAUGAACAUUUCUCAUGACUCGCUUCUUCUUCUGUCCCGUGGUUCUUUUCCUUGGACCUUCUUCUACGCUGAAAUGACUCCAAUCUGACGCUGGCGUCUGGUGGAACCGUCCGGGUGCCGUCCCGUUUCCUUCAGCUCGGCCUGACGCGCCCACGUCCGUGUUCCCCGCUCGGCCGCUGCCCAGAUACGACCUGCAGCUGUUCGUAUCUUCCCUCCCCUCUUGGUGCAGAGGCGAGGCAGACGCCCCGAGGAGGAAUCGGGCCGAUGGCGGCUGCUCCCCGGACUCUCUGGUCAGAGAGAACAGCACCAACGGGCUCCAACCAGAGAAGAAGAAGAAGUGUGAGGCGCCGCUGCACAACGCAGAGUCUCUAGUCGGAGACGUGGACGCCUCACAGGUCCCCGACCGGCAGCUCCUCUGAGGGGAACCUGCUGAACGCCAGCGGGGCAAAGAAAGAGAGCGGCCAACACAACCAAACCAUUGAUCUGGGCAAAAGAACACCGACGUUCGGGAGAUUGGAAUCAACGUUUGAGGUGUUUGGAUCACACAGAAGAACAUUUGUGAGACGCCAAACGGGUGAGAAGAUGCUGGAGGAGUCCUGAUCCAAUCGGACUCGCGGGAGGUGCUUUUCUACAGGUGACCUCAACAAACGAACUGAUGCUGAACGUCUGCAAAGCUGGAACUGCUGCAAGAGUUUGAAGAACAAAAUGAAUAUAAAUAAAAAUGAUUAUUUCUAACCGUGUCAAUGUCUCGACUAUAUUUUAAAUUCAUUUUGCAGCUCAUUUGAUAAAUAAAAGUGUGAGUUUUCAGGGAAAACACAAAGUUGAACUUUUGAAUGGUAG